rnacentral:misc_RNA from 1 species
AAGUCGUAACAAGGUUUCCGUAGGUGAACCUGCGGAAGGAUCAUUAACAUUUGUAUUUGAUUGUGGGUGGUGGUGUUGUUGUGUGCUUUUGCAUGCAACUCAUCAUUACCUCAACCCCAUUGUGUGCAUGUUUUGUGUGUGUGUGCGAGUAGUAAGGGGAGGUUUUUACCUCUCCUUCUCUCACCCCACUUCUUUCACUUUCACACCCAAACCCCUUCUUCUCAUCACACUAGACUGACUUUACACCUCGUUUUACUCAGGCUCAACUGAGCAAAACAUCAAUCAGCAUACAACUCUUAGCAACGGAUAUCUAGGCUCUC